UAAAAAAUGUAAUUGCUCUUAUAGAAUUACAAUAGAACAAGAUUAAAAUAGAAUAACGCCUGUGUUUUUCUACUUUAAACACAACACAUGAAACUUUCAGGACGGUUUCUUAGGCUAGUGAUACAGCGAUGCGUCAGUGCGCCAGUCAUGUACCACUGAAUUAAUUUGUGUGUCGCGUUUGUUUGGUUCAUAUAACAUGUACAUUCCCAGAAAUGUAUGUGACAUUUCCGUUGCCAGUCACUUUCAGUUAAGAAUCACUAAGCUCAGCUCAAUUCCCAUCCCCCACUCCGCCAUUUUUCAUGAAAUUCAACGUGAUGACGCUGCUCAGACAGAGACCGGGAUACACCCUUUUAUUGUAUGCUUCCGCCGGUCGUCGGCAUACGCCCUAUUUAUCACCAAAAAUACGUUAUUGUUCUCCGGCGCUUGGAAGAGAGACGUCCCUUUGCAUCUGCCCCGUGACAAAAAGACCUAAAACUUCAGUUAA
rnacentral:lncRNA from 1 species